AUGAAGACACGACACAAUAAAGACUUAAUGUCAAUGAGGAGUGGACGGAAGAAAGAGGCCCCUGGGCCCCGGGAAGAGCUGAGAUGGAGGGGCCAGGCCUCCCCUGGAGGGGUCAGCACCUCCAGCAGCGAGGGCAAAGUCGAGAAGUCCAGGCAGAUGGCCAAGAAGGCCCAAGUAGAGGAAGCCUCCGCCCCAAAGGUUAGUAAGCAGGGACAGAGUGAAGAGAUCUCGGAAAGUGAAAGUGAGGAGACCAGUGCACCCAGGAAGCCCAAAGCUGAGCAGGAGCUCCCCCGGCCGCAGUCUCCCUCGGACCUGGACAGCUUGGACAGGCGGAGCCUCAACGAUGAUGGCAGCACCGACCCCAGGGAUAUCGACCAGGACAACUGGAGCAGGUCCCCUAGCAUCUACAGCCCCGGCAGCCUGGAGAAUGACUCUGACUCCUCUUCCGGCCUGUCCCAGGGCCCAGCCCUCCCCUACCACCCACCUCUGCUGUUUCCUCCCUCCCCUCUACCACCAGACAGCACCCCUCGACAGCCAGAGCCUGGCUUUGUACCCCAUCUUCCUGUGACACCCACUGGAUAUCAUGCUCUCAUGGAGCCCUCCACUUGAAUGUUCCAGGCUCUGCCUGGAGCCCCUUUCCUCACCCGCAGCUCUACCUUGGGGGCCGCGGGGGGCGGUGGAGGAGUUUUGUCCAGGAGCUCCAGUAGGUUCCAAGGCAGGAGGGGCUGCCUCAUCAGUGGGGGCCUCCGGGGGGAGGUAAGCAGCACCCUCCACCCACUAUCCCCAUUUCAAUACCAAGCUCUGGGGCUGGUGGCGCUUCCCCAACAAAGCCACAGAACACUCCAGUGGGUGGCGGGAGCCUGCCUUCUGCUCCAUCACCAGCCACCUUCCUCCAUGUGACACCGAACUUGCCUCCCCCACCUGUCCUGAGACCCCUUAACAACGCAUCAGCUUCUCCUGACUUGGGGGCCCAGUCGCUACCUGGGCAUCUGCCCUGUCCCCAUGCCAUGGGGCAGGCUAUGGGCGGACUUCCGGCCCAGAGAAGGGCCCGACUCUGGCCCCCUCACCCCACUCUCUGCCCCCCACUUCCUCCUCUUUUGUCCCAGCGCCCCCAAUGAGAUAUCCCUAUUCAAUCUAGCAGUAGCUCUGCAGCUACCUACUCUUCCAGCUCUUCUGCCGCCGCCGCCGCCGCCCAGUACCCAGCUUCCCAGGCGCUGCCCAGUUAUCCUUUUUCCCUCCCCCGGCAAACCUCUCCGUCUCCAACCAGCCCCCCAAGUACACCCAGCCUUCUCUCCCGUCCCAGGCAGUGUGGAGCCAGGGUCCCCCUCCACCUCCUCCGUAUGACUGCCUCUUAGUCAACAGCAAUGCCCACCCUGGCACCUUCCCGCCUCCUGCCGGGGGCCAGGCCAGUGCCCACCCGCCAGCCCCAACACAUCAGCAGCAGCAGCGGCGGCAUCACGGGAACUCUGGGGCUCCCCUGGAGCGUUUCCUUACUCUUUGAAGAGCAGUGGCUCCCACCAUGCGCACCUCUAUGUCAUGUCGCCGUCCUCGGGGACUCUGAGGCCCUACCCAUCCAGGCCAGCACACCUGUCCCAGCCGCAUGGCCACGUGUCCUACAGCCAGGCCAGGCCCAGCGGCCCUCUGGUCUCUUCCUCUUCCACCCGUCGUCCUCCUCCUUCUCUCAAGGGUCCUAGCCCUGCUCGCACCCCUCCUCCUCCCCCUCCCAGGGCCCCCAAGGGGCGGCCCACCCUUCCCGCUGGUGCCCAUGGUCACCACCUCCUCGGCCACCCUCUCCACGGUCAUCGCCACCAUGGCCUCCUCGCCAGCAGGCUACAAGACGGCCUCGCCGCCCAGGCCCCCGCCAUACACGAAGCGAGCCCUGUCCGCGGGGACCUACUAGACGGCCACCCCGCCUGGGUACAAGCCGGGCCCUACCUCCGUCUUCUGGACGGGGACCCCGCCGGGCUACCGAGGCGCCUCGCCGCCCGCCGGCCCAGGGACCUUCAAACUGGGCUCGCCCGCCGCGGGCGCGGGGCCGCUUCCGCCGGCGGGGCCCCUGGCCUGACCUCCCUGCCGCCGCUGCCACCCAUGGUCCUCGCCGACCCAGCCCUGAGCGCCGCGCAGAUCAAGCAGGAGCCGGCCGAGGAGUACGAGGCGCCCGAGAGCCCGGCGCCCCCGGCGCGCAACCCCUCGCCCUCUCCCAAGGCAAUGGACGCACCCAGUCACGCCAGCCAGUCGGUCAGGUUGAACAAGCACCUGGACGGCGGCUUCGACUUGUGCGCGCGCAGCGACCUGUACUUCGUGCCGCUGGAGGGCUCCAAGCUGGCCAGGAAGCGCUCUGACCUGCUGGAGAAGGUGCACCGCGAGGCGAAGCAGCACGCGCGGGAGGAGAAGGAGCGCGAGAGCGAGCGGGAGCGCAGCGUGAAGCUGGCUCAGGAGUACCGCGCUCCUGUGGAGUUUCAUCCCUGGGCCCCGUGCCCCACCACCCUCCGUUCGUGCCUGGCAAUGCGGUGAUUACGGUGCCUCCCUACCUGGGGCCUGACACCCCGGCCUUGGUUCUCGUACCCUCAGCGAGUACUCCCGGCUUCACGUUAUGUCUCCCGGCAACCGCAACCACCCCUUCUAUGUGCCCCUGGGCCCGGUGGACCCGGGGCUCCUGGGCUACAACGUCCCGGUCCUGUACAGCAGCGACCCUGCUGCCAGAGAGAGGGAGCGGGAAGCCCGGGAACUAGACCUCCGCGACCGCCUCAAGCCGGGCUUCGAGGUGAAGCCCAGCGAGCUGGAGCCCCUGCGCGGGGUCCCCGGGCGGGCCUGGAUCCCUUCCCGCGACACGGUGGCCUGGCCCCGCAGCCUGGUCAGCCCGGCCUGCACCCUUUUCCCUUACACUCGAGACUGAGGGCCCUGGAGCGAGAGCGGCUAGCGCUGGCGGCCGGGUCAGCCCUGCGUCCCGACAUGUCCUACGCGGAGCGG